rnacentral:lncRNA from 1 species
AUAAGUUAGUAGAAUUAACUUUAUUGCAACAUAUAUUAAAGCUAAGAUAAAACUAUAUUGUUAUCUUUUGUACUUUUACUUGAGUUGGAAGUUAAUUCCUGCACAACGUUCUUCUAUUGCAUUUGGAUGCAGUAGCUUUUUUUUUAAGUCAAUUUCCUAAUCAUUUUUAAAACAAAUAGAUAUAAUCUUAUCAUAUAAAUUGUUGUUGUCUAUUACAGAUC